AAGUGGUAGGAGAGCGUUCUAUUUGCGUCGAAGGUAUACCGGUAAGGAGUGCUGGAGCGAAUAGAAGUGAGCAUGCAGGCAUGAGUAGCGAUAAUUAAUGUGAGAAUCAUUAACGCCGUAAACCCAAGGUUUCCUACGCGAUGCUCGUCAUCGUAGGGUUAGUCGGGUCCUAAGUCGAGUCCGAAAGGGGUAGACGAUGGCAAAUUGGUUAAUAUUCCAAUACCAACAUUAGUGUGCGAUGGAAGGACGCUUAGGGCUAAGGGGGCUAGCGGAUGGAAGUGCUAGUCUAAGGUCGUAGGAGGUUGUACAGGCAAAUCCGUAUAACAAUACUCCGAGAACUGAAAGGCUUUUUGAAGUCUUCGGAUGGAUAGAAGAACCCCUGAUGCCGUCGAGCCAAGAAAAGUUUCUAAGUUUAGCUAAUGUUGCCCGUACCGUAAACCGACACAGGUGGGUGGGAUGAGUAUUCUAAGGCGCGUGGAAGAACUCUCUUUAAGGAACUCUGCAAAAUAGCACCGUAUCUUCGGUAUAAGGUGUGGUUAGCUUUGUAUUAGGAUUUACUCCGAAAGCAAGGAAACUUACAACAAAGAGUCCCUCCCGACUGUUUACCAAAAACACAGCACUCUGCUAACUCGUAAGAGGAUGUAUAGGGUGUGACGCCUGCCCGGUGCUCGAAGGUUAAUUGAUGGGGUUAGCAUUAGCGAAGCUCUUGAUCGAAGCCCGAGUAAACGGCGGCCGUAACUAUAACGGUCCUAAGGUAGCGAAAUUCCUUGUCGGUUAAAUACCGACCUGCAUGAAUGGCGUAACGAGAUGGGAGCUGUCUCAAAGAGGGAUCCAGUGAAAUUGUAGUGGAGGUGAAAAUUCCUCCUACCCGCGGCAAGACGGAAAGACCCCGUGGACCUUUACUACAGCUUGACACUGCUACUUGGAUAAGAAUGUGCAGGAUAGGUGGGAGGCUUUGAGUAUAUGACGCCAGUUGUAUAUGAGCCAUUGUUGAGAUACCACUCUUUCUUAUUUGGGUAGCUAACCAGCUUGAGUUAUCCUCAAGUGGGACAAUGUCUGGUGGGUAGUUUGACUGGGGCGGUCGCCUCCCAAAUAAUAACGGAGGCUUACAAAGGUUGGCUCAGAACGGUUGGAAAUCGUUCGUAGAGUAUAAAGGUAUAAGCCAGCUUAACUGCAAGACAUACAAGUCAAGCAGAGACGAAAGUCGGUCUUAGUGAUCCGGUGGUUCUGUGUGGAAGGGCCAUCGCUCAAAGGAUAAAAGGUACCCCGGGGAUAACAGGCUGAUCUCCCCCAAGAGCUCACAUCGACGGGGAGGUUUGGCACCUCGAUGUCGGCUCAUCGCAUCCUGGGGCUGGAGCAGGUCCCAAGGGUAUGGCUGUUCGCCAUUUAAAGCGGUACGCGAGCUGGGUUCAGAACGUCGUGAGACAGUUCGGUCCCUAUCUGCCGUGGGCGUAAGAAGAUUGAAGAGAUUUGACCCUAGUACGAGAGGACCGGGUUGAACAAACCACUGGUGUAGCUGUUGUUCUGCCAAGAGCAUCGCAGCGUAGCUAAGUUUGGAAAGGAUAAACGCUGAAAGCAUCUAAGCGUGAAGCCAACUCUAAGAUGAAUCUUCUCUAAGCUCUCUAGAAGACUACUAGUUUGAUAGGCUGGGUGUGUAAUGGAUGAAAGUCCUUUAGCUGACCAGUACUAAUAGAGCGUUUGGCUUAUCUUU
rnacentral:rRNA from 1 species